rnacentral:rRNA from 1 species
UAAUACGUAGGGUGCGAGCGUUAAUCGGAAUUACUGGGCGUAAAGCGUGCGCAGGCGGUUUUGUAAGCCAGAUGUGAAAGCCCCGGGCUUAACCUGGGAAUGGCAUUUGGGACUGCAAGGCUUGAGUGCGGCAGAGGAGACUGGAAUUCCUGGUGUAGCAGUGAAAUGCGUAGAUAUCAGGAGGAAUACCGAUGGCGAAGGCAGGUCUCUGGGCUGACACUGACGCUCAUGCACGAAAGCGUGGGGAGCAAACAGGAUUAGAUACCCUGGUAGUCCACGCCCUAAACGAUGUCGACUAGUUGUCGGAGGGUAACUCCUUCGGUAACGCAGCUAACGCGUGAAGUCGACCGCCUGGGGAGUACGGUCGCAAGAUUA